GGGAUUUGCAUCAAUUGUGCAACAAACACCAGAUAAAUAAGAGAAUCCUGCAAAGUGGCAGCAAACAUUUGAGGCAUCACAACUCAAGAGGGAUAAUCAACCAGACUGGUGUUAAGAGACGUGACUUGACAACAUGAAGACUGUGAUCGUGGCCCUUUUGGUAGUGCUGGUCGUCAGCCACAGUGAAGCUUUAACGUGUAACUGUGGAGGCAGGACUAGUUGUCCAAGCUCUGGAACACAAACCUGCUCUGGUUCAAACAAAGUCUGUAUCAACUUUCGGUUUGCUAACGCCAAUCUUGGCUACUUCAGGAGUUGCUACGGUGCAUCUGAUUGUUCAAGAUUGGUUAGUUCUGAUGUAGGAUCUGGUAGAUGCUGCAGCAGAGACCUGUGCAACUGAUAAAUGAACGCCAUGCAGCACAUCUGCUAAUGAAUGAAUAAUCCACUGCCAUGCAGUGUUUACUGUAAUGUCCUAAUAAAGUUUAUUCAUUUCAAA